UACGUAGGUGGCAAGCGUUGUCCGGAUUUAUUGGGUUUAAAGGGUGCGUAGGCGGCUUAUUAAGUCAGUGGUGAAAGCCCGAAGCUUAACUUCGGAAUUGCCAUUGAUACUGAUGAGCUUGAGUAGAUUUGAAGUGGGCGGAAUGUGUUGUGUAGCGGUGAAAUGCUUAGAUAUGACACAGAACACCAAUUGCGUAGGCAGCUCACUAAACUCUCACUGACGCUGAGGCACGAAAGCGUGGGGAUCAAACAGG
rnacentral:rRNA from 1 species